rnacentral:lncRNA from 1 species
UCCAGAUGAAAUCACGGUUCCCAACAAAAACAAAAACAAGGACUUUGGCCGGGUUACCUAAUUGCUCUGAACCUUAGUUUCCUCAUCUGCAAAAUGUACCGUACAACCUCUCUGUUACAUGGAUUAGAAAUGAUGUCAUCGUAGCUAUUCACAGCAAUGACAAAUGAAAACACUCACCCUCUCCAGAGGAAGAAGUGGCGGAGGGCCAAUGGCCAUGCAAGCAUGUUCUUUUUCACUUUAUUUUAUUUUUGUGUUUUGCUUUUUGUGUUCUGGUUUUAGCCGAGUAUUCUCUCACAGCAUGGCCGAUGUGGAAAUAUGUUUUGCAUGAUCAUACAGAAGAGCAAAGACAAGAAAUGAUGUCAUCCCGAAAGCUCACCUAUCUACAUCUUUCUGACCAGAAUUGCCUACAUGGAGACGCCGAUUACCUUCUGGCACAAAGGCUUCCCCCUCCUUCCCAGCGAUUCGCUUCUCCUGGAGUGAACCUUGAGUCACAGCAAAAAUCCCUCUCACACCUCCCCCCCAGCCCCAAUUAA